AAUACCAGACGUAAACUUAGGAAGUGAUGAUCCUUUGUCUCAAGGACACACGGAUCAAAGCAGCAUAAACAAACCGGCAGAGAGCAUGUUGAAUAUAGUUGAAGAGUCAGCCAAUGAGCCAGCUGAAGAGAACAUGAUGGUUGUGCGGGUAGAGACAUAGUCAAAAACCGAAGCGCUUUCAAUAGUUUCGAUUCAAGUUUAUCUACCACUGUCCCAAACAACCACUAUGCCAGAAAUUGAACCAACCCCUGUGCCAGAAAUUGAACCAACCCCUGCAAAGUCUCCAAGUGAAAAAAUUAAUGAAGAAACUACAAAAAGCACUCCAGAACCACCGCCAAAAACUGAAGAAAGCACACCCCCACUUCCACCAGCUCCAUCUAAAGUCCCCAGAAGAUGCUGCUGUACUUAUGAUGAUGGCACGGACAGCAUCGUACAUUCCUAAAGAAGGUCCGAUGCCAUCAUUCAGCCUCGGCUUGACUGAUUCAAGACAAGAAGAAACAGCAACGUAAGAGGGUGCAGCAACGCAAGAGGGGCAGAGGGAAAAAAAUCCUGAAACGCCAAAACUAAU